rnacentral:rRNA from 1 species
AACGAACGCUGGCGGCAUGCCUAACACAUGCAAGUCGAACGAAACCUUCGGGUCUAGUGGCGCACGGGUGCGUAACGCGUGGUAACCUGCCCUUAGGUUCGGAAUAACUCCCCGAAAGGGGUGCUAAUACCGGAUAAUGUCUUCGGACCAAAGAUUUAUCGCCUUUGGAUGGGCCCGCGUUGGAUUAGCUAGUUGGUAGGGUAAAAGCCUACCAAGGCGACGAUCCAUAGCUGGUCUGAGAGGAUGAUCAGCCACACUGGGACUGAGACACGGCCCAGACUCCUACGGGAGGGAGCAGUGGGGAAUAUUGGACAAUGGGAGAAAGACUGAUCCAGCAAUGCCGAGUGAGUGAUGAAGGCCUUAGGGUUGUAAAGCUAUUUUAACCGGGAUGAUAAUGACAGUACCGGGAGAAUAAGCUACGGCUAACUCCGUG